GGAGAGAAACCUUACAAGUGUAAUGAAUGUGGCAUGGUUUUUAAUCAACAAUCACACCUCGCAAGUCAUCAUAGACUUCAUACUGCAGAGAAAUCUUACAAACCUGAACAACCUGGCACACCAUACUAGAAUUCACACUGGAGAGAAACCUUACAAGUGCAAUGAGUGUGGCAAAGCCUUUAGUGGGCAGUCACCACUUAUUCACCAUCAAGCAAUCCAUGGUAUAGGGAAACUUGACUAAUGUAAUGAUUGUCACAAAGUUUUCAGUAAUGCUACAAUCAUUGCACAUCAUUGGAGAAUCCACAGUGAAGAGAGAUCCUACAAGUGUAAUAAAUGUGGCAAAUUUUUCAGACAUCGUUCAUGCCUUGCAUUUCACUGGUGAACUCAUGCUGGAGUGAAACCUUAUAAAUGUCAUGAUUGAGGCAAGGUCUUCAGUCAAGUUUUGUCCUAUGCAAAACAUAGGAGAAUUCAUACAGGACAGAAACCUCACAAGUGUGAUGAUUGUGGCAAAGCCUUUACUUCACAUUCACACCUCAUUAGGCAUCAGAGAAUCCAUACUGCACAGAAAUGUUACAAAUGUCGUCAGUGUGGAAGGGUCUUCAGUCUGAGGUCACUCCUUGCAGAACAUCAGACAAUUCCUUUUGGAGAAAAUUGUUUCAAAUGCAAUGAGUAUAGCAAACCAUCAAGCAUUAAUUGACAUUAGAGUCAAAUCAGCCUUGACCUGAGUUUGAGUUGACUUAACAUUGAGUUCAAGCAUUAAUUGACAUUAAACUGUUUAUGUU